UACGUAGGGGGCGAGCGUUGUCCGGAUUUAUUGGGCGUAAAGAGCUCGUAGGCGGUUCGAUAAGUCGGGUGUGAAACCUCCAGGCUCAACCUGGAGACGCCACCCGAUACUGUCGUGACUAGAGUCCAGUAGGGGAGCGUGGAAUUCCUGGUGUAGCGGUGAAAUGCGCAGAUAUCAGGAGGAACACCAGCGGCGAAGGCGGCGCUCUGGGCUGGCACUGACGCUGAGGCGCGAAAGCCAGGGGAGCGAACGGG
rnacentral:rRNA from 1 species